AGAAGAAAAUUUGGAUUUCGAUUCGUCAUCGCAGUGAAAGCAUUAUUACUGAAAAUCCGCCAUCUGCUCACAUCCCAGAGUCGCUGCCAGAAUUGAAGGAGGAAAUAUCCGUAUUGUUCGUCAAUAAGGCAGCGGAUAAAUAAGUGCUCCCCGGGUGGUCAGUAGAAACGGAAACCGAGCGAGGUAGCGAAGGUAGCAGCAAUCCGUCGUCACCGAUUCCAGUAGAAAGCUGUGGAGGACUUGCAAUUGCUGCUGCUAAGACGGAAUCCGAGUCUCCUAUUGCCAGAUUAGCCGGAAGGACAUACAACCAAAGCUCAGAUUGCUGAAGACUUUGGUGGCGAAGGGCAAAGAGGAAAAGAAGGAGAAAGAAACCUUCACAGCCUCGAGACAAGGCAAAGUGUCGGGUGCCCAGCAAACCACAUUACGGACGGUAGCCAU